CCUAUCCCUCCAUUCCAAUCUCAGGCAUUGACGUCCACCUACCUCCCUUAGAUACUGCCGCCACUAAAUCAGACUUACCUUUAUUUCCACACUCUGGUCCUACUACAAUAGUCAUUCUAUGAUUACAAGGUCCAAGGCUAACAACAAUAAUCCAAAUGUCUUUAAUUCUAUCAUUACAGCCCCUGAUUAUACACACCAAUCCCCAACAUAUGCUAAAAUAGCAGUCACUAUACCUGAUUAGCAUAAAGUCAUGAUGGAAGAAUAUCAAAUCCUUAUUAAUGCUAAGACCAAGAUUGUAGUCUCAUCAUCAUAUAAUGCUAAAAUUAUCUGCAGCAAAUGGGUUUUUAUCAUAAAAAAACAUUCGGAUGGCACUAUAUAUAAGUAAGGUUGAGUGAGUCUAUCUCUUGUUGUACGAAAAAUUGAGUAACAGGUUGAGAAAUCUCUUCAAUUCAAUUCUCAAAUUAUGAUGUGGACAAGUUAGAUUGAGGAAUCCUUUUUUGUUGCAUAAAAAAAUUGGAUAGAAAGUAAGUGAUUCUUUUGUAUUCAAUUUCACCCUAUCUUUUUUAUUUCUAUUUCAAUUACAAUUUAUCCUUUUUAUUCAAUUUCAAUUCUUGCCUUAUUUAACCAUUCUUAUCAGGAGUUUAUUCAAGGUGUAGCUAGGUGCAGGGUUAAAUCUCUUUUUUAAGUUCAAAAUUUCUUUUUGUUUUUUGAUGAAAAGAUGGAUAAGAAGUCCAAAUAGUAGAAAAAACUAACAAAUAAUCAUCCUAAAAGAUCUAACUCCAAAAAUACUACCUAACGGAAAAGGGAAAAGGAAAGAAAGGGUUGUUAAAGAAGCUCAUCCCCAUAUCUUGAAUCUGUCCUUAUCUUGUUAAAGCAUCAGCGCUGGCGUUUGCUUCUCUGAAGAUUUGCUCCACAAUAACUUCCUCCAUCUCUGCCAACAGCUUUUUAAUGGAGUAUAUGAGAGAGGAGCCAACAUAGAGGUCUGCUUCCUGUUUCUAGACUAAUUGGGUGGCGCAUUUGGAAUCGCUUUCAACAAUUAGUUUGGGGAUUUUCAUCUCCUUUGCUAUUUUCAAGCCAAUCUAAAACUCCCAAAGCUCAACUAUGGUAAUGGAACAACACUCAGCAUCCCGCAACCACUCUAUCCAGAGAAUCUCUAAGUAAACUGCCACACACUCCCUUACUCCCAGAUUGAAGAACUGAGCCAUGGAAGUUGAGUUUGAUCCGGCUAACCUCAGAUUCUGGUUGUUAAAGAUGAGUUCGUUUUUGCAUCUUCAGGCUGUAUUACAUGUUAAUAAUUUUCCCUCUUGCAAGAUUAUUGUGAUAAAGUUAAGUGAUUAACUGCCAAUCAAUUAGUUCCGUAAAGAUAAAUAUAAGAUAUAAUUAUGACUGCAUAAUCAAGACCAGCUUAUCAAUUAUAUUAAAUUUUACUUGCCAUAUAUAUUUUUCACAUAGUAUAAUUUGUAUAAUUUGUCAAUGGAAAAUUCUAGUGAAGUAUGCAAACUGACAUUAUCAUAUAGAAGUGUUAUGGAGAAGAAUGAAAGGUUGUAGAUCAUAUGAAUUAUCUUUUGUACAGUAUGUUUUAGGUGUUAUGAUUUUUGUUAAUUGCAUUGGUUACGAGGUAGCAACAAUCCAAUGUAAUUUUGUAAUGAACAUAUUUAUACUAUACUACUAAGGAUCAAUAUGUACAUAUUUGUUGGUUUCUCUUAUUUUUAGACUGUUAUAUAAUUAAUUUAUUUGCAAUAUGAAUGCAAGUUAACGUCAUUUUUAUUUAA